rnacentral:rRNA from 1 species
AUGGACUCCAGAUUCCUCUCGCUCUAUGUAAUACAAGCAACCUGGCCAGUCUUCAGUAGUUCACUAUCACGUUUAAUGGCGGAGAUUGUUGCUUCCGCGGUGGUCGGCGAGACGCUUACAAGGAUCUCCAGCUUCAUCAUCGACAAGCCUGCUGGCAAGCGGCCAUGCGACAGAGACGAGAUGGAGAGGCUGGAGAUGGCGCACAUCAAGAUGGAGGCCGCGCUGCAGCUGUCCGACCGGUGGCAGAUCACCGCCGCGCCGGUGCUCCUCUGGCGGAGCAAGCUGAAGCGUGCCGCCCAGGAGUGCGACGACACGCUGCGCCUCUGCAGGCAGCGCCAGCGCGCCGUGGUAGAUGAAGAGCUCAGGCGGCAGGCGUCCUCGCUCCCCACGCGCAUCGCCCACGCGGCCAAGUCGCUCGUGUCAUCUCUCGUCAGCCGCGGCAAGGACGUCGGCGAACCGGUCCCCGUCCGGAGCUUCGAGAGGUUCGCGGAGGGCGCCGGCGAGUUCGUCAGGUUCGUGGAGCUGGGCGGGACCCCGCGGCAGCACCUCUUCUUCGACCCGCUCAUCGGCCACCUCCUCGCGGGCAAGACGGCGCGGUACCAGGCGCUGCAGGGCGGCAGGUUCUACUACCUCGGCAUCCGGCCCAUGAGCUUCGCGGAGCGCGGGGUGGAGGCCAUGGUCGGCUUCGUCCUCCAGGACUUCAGGGCGCCUGCCAAGAGCUUCAGCUCGAGGUUCAUGCUGCGCCUCUCCGAGAGCAGCGACGUGCUCGGGAUCAUAGCCAGGUGCAUGUGA